rnacentral:snRNA from 1 species
UUGCUCAUUUCGGCAGCAUAUAUACUAAAAUUGGAAUGAUAUAGAGAAGAUUGGCAUGGCCCCUGCGCAAGGAUGACAUACAAAUUUGUGAAGCAUUCCAUAUUUUU